rnacentral:sRNA from 1 species
AGACUGUGUCCCUGGAAUCAGAAAGAGGAAAGUAACCUUUCUACCUGCCCACCUUGAAGUUAGAAACUUCUGGAGAGUGGAAGAGGUGCUGGUUGGUACAGAGGUAAGGAGCCCGCAAACUCGAGAGGAGAGGUCACUGGAGGCAAAGGUUUGCUUGUUUUAAAUAGCAUGUCCACUUGGAGCAGUAUGGAGGGGUCCGGGGUAGACUGGGGUCUAUUGGGGUCCAGUUGAAAUGUCCUGGGUGAGAUGGGGAGAAGAGAAAAAGGCGAGAGGUGGACAUUGGGCUUUGUUCAUAGGCUGUGGCAAAUGGCUCUAACAUCCAACUGAGGUGCCUGCAAGAUUGACAGGCACAGCUGCUGACCUCAGGAGAGUCUCCCGGGGACCAGUGUGGUCAUAGAGCAGUUUCGUCUAUCAGGCCUAGCUACAGCCCAACCCCCAUUACCACCCGGAUCUAAACCCAUCUGAAACCAUUGCUACGAAGAUUCUAUUGCUGACUGUGCUCCGACAUGCUCCCACAAAUAAAAUGUACUUCUUGGCACAGGACUGCAUUCCUGAACAUACCUUUUUGGGGUUCAAGCAGCAAGCAUUACAGGGCUUUAAACACUCGAUAAAGUAUAUUCCCAGACAUUUCACAGGUAUCCUAUAUCUAUAUAUGAAGAUAAAACAUUCAUUUUUAUACUCUUUAUUGAAAGGUGCACGGAUAACCACAAGUAAACACAUAAAAUAAUAAGGAUGAAUUUUCACCAACUAAAAAUAUCCAGCUCAUCAGCAGCCAGAUCAAAACAAGAACACUGCCCAUUCUCCAGAAGCCCCUUAAGCACAUUGAAGCUUAACACAGUUUUGAAAUAAGGCUACCAAAAAAAAUACAAUCUUUCUCUGACAUAACAUGAUAGUAAUUUUGCAGUGAGCUGUUAACUUGGGUCUGGUAUUCCACCAUUGGCAGGCUUCCGUUUCCCUUUUGCUCCUAAAAACCAAAUCUUUAAGCAAAACUCCCAACUCUUCCCUCAUGAUCAUUUGCGUCUUUAGGCCCGUCAGCAGAUUCUGUUAAAUGAACUGGCAAAUUGGUGAGGAGCAGAGGAUAUGAAUCUGUAUUAAGCAGCAGUGAGUAGGCAGAGAAGUUGAAUAUCAUGUAGCAAAUAAGUGGGACUGUCCCUCAGUCAUUUGACUCAGGAUUCUAAGCACACACCCCAGGCAGUGCUAGCCUCUUAACAGCUUCCUAUUGGGUGUUGCUUUGUAAAGGUGAUUAUCAUAGAAGUUGUUUGUUCUUUUUCUUUGGUUUUUCUUCAUCUUCAUUUAUACUGAUAGUGUCAGAUCUUCUAUAGGACACUUUUAUAGGACACUGAUGUAUUUGUCUCACUCUUCUAAUUAUACUUCCAUAGCAAUGCAGAUCUAAUAUCUUCUUGUAUACAUAUGCAUACAUAGACUCAAACAGCAUGUGCAUGUCUAUAUAGAUAGGAUUUGAACUGAGAGAGGCAUGUGACCUUAGGAGUAGCAAGUGUAUUUUUAAACAUGAGUGGAGAUCUAUGGUUUUCUGACUUUGUUUUGUUUUGUUUCUUCUGGAACAGGGAAGAAGCCAUUGCAGAUGGGAGUGGGUGAGCACAGGGCUGGGAAGGGGAUCCCAGGGCAAAAGGAUGUGAGCUUGAAAGACGGUGGAAGUUGCUCCCGUUGCCAUGGCUUAUUAACUAAGAGGCAGAUGGUCCAAUGCGAGAUGGGAGGGGGAUACUCCUCCAACACCCCUGGGCUCCUUGCUUCUUCCCAACUUCUGCUGGGGGAAGAAAAGUGAUUUCUAUUGGCUUGCCUGCUUCCAGGUGACCCAGCAUUUCCUGCUACCGAUGACCAAGCAUCGUCUCCUGGAGUCACGUGUCGGUCCUUCAGUGUCCAUGCUCACUCCACCAUGUGUCUAUCAGAGAGAGCAAACACUGGUGUCUUUUCCUGGGCGUGACCUGCAGCCAAGGAAGCCUGCCGAGAGGCAACCCUUAAGGCUUUCCGUUGUGAAUGCAAAGGAGCCUGGAGCUCUUCAUGCUGGGUCCAACAGAGGGUACCUGGCUCUCCAAAACGAUCGCCCACUGGUUUAGACAGUGUUCAGUUCUGCCAGCUCCUGAUUCGGUGAGUGGAGUUUUCCCUAUUUGACAAUAUAAUGCUAUCCUAUCUUUUCGAAGCAGAAAAUUUGACACUCAUUCUGAAGAAGGGCCAUCUUCCCCUUCAAAAUAAAUACCUACCAGCAUUAUCUUUGGGCUGGAUAGUUCUGUUCCCACUUGACACCAGUUAGAAUAAUUUUGGAAGAGGGAAACUUAAUGGAAAAAAAUGCCCCCACCAGAUUGGCCCGUGGGCAAGUCUUUGGUGCGUUUUCUUUAUUGAUGUGAGAGGGCCCUUGUCAUUGUGAGUGGCGACAUCCCUGGGCUGGCAGUCCUAUAAAACUGCAAGCUGAGAAGUCCAAGAGGAGCAGGGAGCACAGCUCUGCGUCAGUUCCUGCCUCCAGGUUCCUGUCUUGAGUUCCUGUCCUGGCUUCCUGGGAUAAUGAAGUAGAAGGCGUAAAAUGAAACGAACCCUUUCCUCCUUGAGUUGCUUUUGACCAUGGCGUUUCAUCACAGAAGUAGAAAUCCUCAGACAAUCUACAGCCACUCUUUAUUCUUUUGCCAUUCAUUUAAACAUUUCCCUUUUCUAUACUCUAAAACCAGAACACGUCUCAAACACACAAAAACGCUUGCGAUUUGCAUCCCAUCACAUCCAAGGGAUGGAAGUGAUUUCUAACGUCUAAGUACUAGAUAUUGUGCCCAACAGGUUUUAAAUAGCAACAAGUUCUCCCAAGAUGCUACUUGGAGACUGCUAAUGCCUACUGUGCUCAAAGGCAAUCCACAAGUGGGCAAAACCAGCCUCCCAGGAACUUGAUCCUCACUCCAGGCACCAGAAUCUACAUUUAACAAGGAUCCUGGUCACAUGAACGCACAGUAAAACCUGCUCCCUCACCUGGCCCUCUUAACACUCUUUUAGAGUACUAAAAGGUCAUUUGCAAAAGUCUGUAGAAGGGAAUAGGAGUUGUGUUUUCUGACAUCAUUUUAUCUGAAUACACAAUUGUUGGGGUUUUCUCUUUCUUUCUCUUGUCUUCCCUUUCCUUUCCCUUUUUGCUUUCCUUUUUCAGACAGAAUCUUACUCUCUGGUCAAGUCAUCUUCCAUUCAUGAUCCUCCUGCCUGUGCUCUCAAGCUCUGGGACACCAGGCAUGCAGCACCAUCACAGCUGUCCCAUUUCUUACAGAAGAUGCAUAACCAAUGCCUCCGCUAAUUCAAGUGGUCAGCCCUGGUGACGUCACUCCCUCUGUUCGCGCUUGCAGCCAUUUAUGCUAACAAUUCUGAUCCUGGAAGAUACUCUGCAUGGUCCCAGAAGAGAAAUAUUCAUCAUUGUCACCCAGCUACAAACCCUGCAGCCUAUGACAGUCACCUGCCUGCAGAUACACUGGAGCAAUAGUGACACAAAUGUUAUGGGAGUCACCAACCACUUUCUGAUUGGAUUUAAGGCCUGAUUGGAUUGGAGAUGGAACCCAUAAUGGACGCUGUUAAAAUGGCUAAGAACCUGAGAGUGGGGAGGUCAUGAGCCUAGGGGAAAAACCUACCACUGUGAUCCUGCUAAAGAAGUGCAGCAGAUUGUGAGUAAGCGUACAAACGAAGACAGUAACUCCAGAAGUGCGGAGAACGAAGUCAAGGGAUGUGCUGAAUGUGGGAAGGUGACACUGGUGAGGAAGGAAUCAGGUUGCCAUCUAUGGAGUAGAGCAUGGCAGUCGUGAAGACAUCAGGGGAGAGACCGCUCCAGCAGCAAAUGCAAGGAUGCUAGGUAGGCACUCAGCAUGUGUGUGGCCAUGAGUUUCCCAGGGAGCAAAAGGUUUUCUAAAAGAUGUCCCUCUGUCCUGCAGCACCAAGUGCCUAACAAGGGCAUCAGCUGCUUAGUCCUAAGACUCUCUCCCAUGAGGAGUCUGUCCACCUUCCUGGGACUGGCACAGUGUAGGGCACCUAUUAGGAACUAAGACUGAGGAAGGAAGGAAUGGGUUCUUGCGAGUAGCUCCCAGCCCAUUCAUGAACCUAAACUCAUGACUAAGCUUGAUUUCUGUGUGGCAGUGUUUACUGGCACAACCUUGUUAUUUUAAUCAACCUGAAGCAUUGGGCUCGUCCAUGGCUUGGGAUAGCCGGUGUAGAACUGGUUUUCGAUUAAUUGGAAAGGCCCUUUUAGCCCCAUGGGACACAUCCAGAAGGGCUAUUAUUUGCAUCAACGUAGUGACCCCUCCCCCUUCCAGUUGCAUGUCUGAAUGAAAGUCUUUCCUUGGUGAUCGUCACCAAGCUCAGUGUUGCGACAAACAUUCCUUGGACCAUUUUUUGUUAAAAAAAAAAAUGGAAUUUACAACAUGGAGUUUACACUUAAGGCUAAGGGCUUGCCAAUGGGCUGACCCCUGGGUCUGACCUCACUUUGGCUUUUAAUUUUGUCUUGGGUAACGUGCCUUCUGUUCGAUGACCAUGAGCCGCAGAGUCUGCGAGUAGACUCUAAAUUUAUGUUAUCCACUAAGCUCGAUCUGUGCUGUAGGUACUUUGAGCAUCCAACACGCACUAAGAAUCAUGAUGUCAGUACCUACGGCGAAGCAGGGAGGACCCGGCAAAAGCAAACAGCUACGCUUCCACAGAACCUAUGGAAGGCCGGUUAAGAAUGCCAAUAUGGACGUGGGGAGGCUUGAGGCUCUCGGAGUGUGGCAUGAUCAUAGCGAUGGGAGAAAGGUCACUCCAGGUUGAAAAAGUCUUCCACUGGGUGUGGA